GGGAACGUACCCUUCGGUUCGGAAUAACUCAGGGGAACUUGAGCUAAUACCGGAUACGCCCUUUUGGGGAAAGGUUUACUGCCGAAGGAUCGGCCCGCGUCUGAUUAGCUUGUUGGUGGGGUAACGGCCUACCAAGGCGACGAUCAGUAGCUGGUCUGAGAGGAUGAUCAGCCACACUGGGACUGAGACACGGCCCAGACUCCUACGGGAGGCAGCAGUGGGGAAUAUUGGACAAUGGGCGCAAGCCUGAUCCAGCCAUGCCGCGUGAGUGAUGAAGGCCUUAGGGUUGUAAAGCUCUUUUGUCCGGGACGAUAAUGACGGUACCGGAAGAAUAAGCCCCGGCUAACUUCGUGCCAGCAGCCGCGGUAAUACGAAGGGGGCUAGCGUUGCUCGGAAUCACUGGGCGUAAAGGGCGCGUAGGCGGCCGAUUAAGUCGGGGGUGAAAGCCUGUGGCUCAACCACAGAAUUGCCUUCGAUACUGGUUGGCUUGAGACCGGAAGAGGACAGCGGAACUGCGAGU
rnacentral:rRNA from 1 species